CCUACGGGUGGCAGCAGUGGGGAAUAUUGCGCAAUGGGCGAAAGCCUGACGCAGCGACGCCGCGUGAGGGAUGAAGGUCUUCGGAUCGUAAACCUCUGUCAGCAGGGAAGAACAGUCACUGUGCUAAUCAGCAGUGAAUUGACGGUACCUGCAAAGGAAGCACCGGCUAACUCCGUGCCAGCAGCCGCGGUAAUACGGAGGGUGCGAGCGUUAAUCGGAAUUACUGGGCGUAAAGCGCUCGUAGGCGGUAUGUCAAGUCAAGGGUGAAAUCCCCGCGCUCACAGUGGGAACUGCCUUUGAAACUGGCAAACUGGAGUGUGUGAGAGGAUAGUGGAAUUCCAGGUGUAGGAGUGAAAUGCGUAGAUAUCUGGAGGAACAUCAGUGGCGAAGGCGACUAUCUGGCACAUAACUGACGCUGAGGAGCGAAAGCGUGGGUAGCAAACAGGAUUAGAUACCCGAGUAGUC
rnacentral:rRNA from 1 species